rnacentral:rRNA from 1 species
AGCUUUAGGAAAUGGAUUUAAGGUUAAACCUGCCCAAUGUGUAUGAGCAUGAAUGGCCGCGGUACUCUGACCGUGCUAAGGUAGCGCAAUCAAUUGGCUUUUAAUUGGGGCCAGGAAUGAAUGGAACCACGGGGCUUAGCUGUCUCUUAACUAGUAUAUCGAAAUUACUGUGUAGGUGAAAAAGCCUAUGAAAAGAAAAAGGACGAGAAGACCCUUAGAGUUUUUCUAAAAUUGAAAUUAGUUUUUCAAACCAGUUUAGUUGGGGCAACAUAGGAACAGUGUUAAAUUUCCUGAAAAUAACUAACCGAUACUUAUAAAAAUGAAUAAACUACCUUAGGGAUAACAGCAUAAUUUAACAGUUAAGUUUGUGACCUCGAUGUUGGACUAGGGAACUAAAAGGCUAGCCGCCUUUUAGAAAGGUUCUGUUCGAACUAUCAUUCCUA